UACGGAGGGUGCAAGCGUUAUCCGGAUUUACUGGGUUUAAAGGGUGCGUAGGCGGAUAAUUAAGUCAGUGGUGAAAUCUUCAGGCUUAACCUGGAAACUGCCAUUGAUACUAUUUAUCUUGAAUACUUUGGAGGUAAGCGGAAUAUGUCAUGUAGCGGUGAAAUGCUUAGAUAUGACAUAGAACACCAAUUGCGAAGGCAGCUUACUACACAGUAAUUGACACUGAGGCACGAAAGCGUGGGGAGCAAACAGG
rnacentral:rRNA from 1 species